AGUAAACAAGUCUCCACUGCCUUGGCCAUGUGCUGUGUUCACCCCACUCCUGAUCUUGUUGGCUGCUCAGGGGCUGACAGCCCAGAUGUGCAGCUGUGAUGAGCAGAAACAGGGAGGAAUGGAGCCCCCAGCCAUUGUCAUCACUUCCUCAAGCUGUCUAAAUUCUGCCCAGCAGUCUGUGAAAAUGUUGUGCUGAUGACAUAUGUAAGGACUCUAACUCCCCUCAAACAAUCUGCUCACCUGAAAGGCUCACUCCUGUUGUAAUAAAUGACACAUAAGGUCACAAUUCAACCGGUACCCAUCUUGGAUACCACUUCUUAUGUAAACAUCAAAUAUACACCCUCUUCCCACACACUAAUGUAUCCUGUAUAUUUGAAAUAAAAGUUAGAGAUAUACAUACAGAGAUUUAAAAUCUAAAACUGUCCCCUCCCCAGUAAGUCAUGUAUCCGUUAAAAGAAUAUCUGGAAACCUCCAAAAGGAAGCCAAGCAUAGACUAUUUGGAAGAACUUGAAGGAGCGAGAGCUGACCCCAUCUUUGUACACUGGCAGCACAAGGAGUAAGUGUUACCCUCCCUCAUAACAACAAUCAACACGGAAGACUUCUGUGACCAAAUGUGUGCACGUUUCUCUCCAUACACCAAGCAAGCAAUCUAUUCUGCAGCAGACACCAACUGGAAGUCCUCCAAUUCAAUUCAAUUCUGACACUGUCUACCUGGAAAUGGCCUCAGCAACCACAGGUUGAGAGCUCAGUCCCACAAGAACACCUCCUCCUUCCAACCAGUUGAAACUCCACACCUCCAGAACUUCUCACUGACUGGCUUCGAGUUGAGGUUUCCACAGUCCUCUGUUUGAGUUUGAUUAAUUUGCUAGAGAAGUUCACAGAACACAAGGAAACACUUACUUAUGUUGAUCAAUUUAUCACAAAGGAUGUUUUAAAGGAUCCAAAUGGGGGCCAGGCACAGUGGCUCAUGCCUGUAAUCCCAGCACUUUGGGAGGCUGAGGCAGGCGGAUCAUGAGGUCAGGAGAUCAAGACCACCCUGGCUAACACGGUGAAACCCCGUCUCUACUUAAAAAAAAAAAAAAAAAUUAGCCGGGUGUGGUGGUGGGCACCUGUAGUCCCAGCUACUCAGGAGGCUGAGGCAGGAGAAUGGCAUGAACCCAGGAGGCAGAGCUUGCAGUGAGCGGAGAUUGCGCCUCUGCACUCCAGCCUGGGCAACAGACCAAGACUCUGUCUCAAAAAAAAUAAAUACAUAAAAUAAAAAAUAAAAAAUAAAUAAAUAAAUAAAUAAAUAAAGGAUCCAAAUGAAAAGCCAGAUGAAGAGAUAUAUAGUGUGAGGCCUGGAAGAGCACAGGAGCUUCUGUCCCUGUGGAGUUGGGGUGUGUCAUCCUCCUGGCACAUGACAGGUUCUUCUUCUGCUUCCUGUCAGCCUCCACAUGUUCAGCUCUCCAGAAGCUCUAUACAUCCUGUCCUUUCAGGCCUUUUAUGAAGACUCCAUUGGAUAGGCAAGAUAACAAACAUGUAGAAAUGUUAUUAGACCAAAGGGUAUGAUCUAUAAUAUCUAUUAUAAUGCCAAUAGACUGAGUGGGGAAACCCGGCAAGGCCUGUCUAUUCAGAUUCUUGUUAGCACCUCUGUGCAGCAUUCCUUCCUCCAGGGUAUGGCAGGACCUUUCUCAAAUGAGGAUCUUAUGGCCCACAAUCAGAAAGGCAGGGGAAGAUUAGAGGAGGGCAGGGGAAGGUCAGAGAGAGAGAUUAUAUUUUCUGAGGUCUGCUCCUGAGACUUAAAGCACUCCAACAUUAUAACAGAAGACUAUGGGAGUUAUGCCAACAACCAUGGAUGAAAACAUGUUUUAUAUAUAAUAUAUAUAUUAUAUAUAAUUAUAUAUUAUGUAUUAUUAUAUAUAAUUAUAUAUUAUAUAUAUUUUAUAUAUACUCGCAAGAGGUUAAUUCAGAAAAUUGCUACUGUGGUUGCUACUUUUUGUCCUUUAACAACCAAUUUAAAGUAAAAUUUUGACUGAAAUAGCAAUUGAUUUUUGAGAAAUGUCAGCAAUCGCAAUGAUAAUAAUUUUUUAGCCAUUAUCCCAAAGGAAACGAGUGAUGUUUUCAAAAUGUACUUCAAUCCUUCAGCAAUAAUCAGAUAAAUAAAUUUCCUGUAAAAUUAUAAUUAAAAGUAAAUGAUACUUUUAAUUUUUAUGGAUAAAUAAUAUUUGUACAUAUUUAUGAGAUUCAUGUGAUAUUUUGUUACAUGCAUACAAUAUAUAAUGGUCAAGACAGGGUAUUUAGGGCAACUGCUACCUUGAGUAUGUGUCAUGUUCUGUGUUUAUCAUUUGAAAUCUUCUUGCUAUUUUGAAAGACAAUACACUGUUGUUAACUAUAAUCACUCUACUAUGAUAUUGAACAGUAUAAUUUAUUCCUUUAUCUAACUGUAUGUUUGUACCCAUUAACUAACCUCUGUCCAUCUCCCGCACCCUUGCCAUACACACUCUUUUCAUCUUCUUGUAUCUAUUAUUCUCUUCUCUACCUCCAGGAGAUUAACAUUUUUAGCUCCCACACAUAUGUGAUGACUUGUAAUAUUUGUCUUUCUGUGCCUGGCUUUUUUCACUUAUGUUAAUGAACUCCAGUUCCAUUCAUGCUGCUGCAAAUGACACGAUUUCCUUAUUUUUAUUGCUGGAUAUUAUUCCAUUGUGUGUAUACGCUGCAUUUUUAUCCAUUGGUUUAUUGACGAACACUUAGGUUGAUUCCAUAUCUUUGCUAUUGUUAGUAGUGCUACGAUAAACAUGGGAGUGCAGAUAUCUUUUUGAAAUAUUGAUUUUGUUUUCUUUAUAUAAAUACCCAGUAGUGGUAUUUUUGAAUCAUAUGGUAGUUCUAUUUUUUGAUUUUACUAAUUUAUAUUCCCACCGGUAGUGUGUAAAAGUUCCCUUUUCUCCACAUCCUCACCAGCAUCUGUUAUUUUUUGUCUUUUUAAUAAUAGUCAUUCUAACUUAGGUAAGAGGAUAUCUAAAUUAUCUUUCAAUGAAAGGAAUGAGGGAUACAUUAAUAUUAGGCAUUGAUCUUCUUUUGACAGAAAAACAUCAAAAUGUUGUACAAAUUUGUAAGGAUUUGAUAAUAAAUUUUGGCAGAUGUCCAAUAUCAAGAUCACCAACCACUUCAUUAAUAAUUGUUGUUAAGUCAUGGAACUUGUCUGCAGAAAUUGUAUUCUUCCAAGCUUCUAACUGAGGAUUUUGCCCUUCAACCUUAUCUGCUGUGAAAAGACAUGUUUUUUUUUGCAAAGCAAUAUUAAGAUAAUUGAAAUAUCCAAAAUACUAGACAAAUGAGAAAGAUUCGUUGUCCAAUUUCAUCUUAAAGUCAAUAUCAAAUUGGUUGCUUACCUUGGAAACACUGAGAUUGUUCUAUAGUUCAACAGUUCUCCACCAAACUUUUACCCUCAAUAAAGAUGUACUUCCACAUACAUUAACAGUUGUUUUUAGUCAGCUUUCACAUUAUUGCCUAUAAAAAAAUUAAAGUUAUUACCCUUAUGGAAUGAUUACAUUUUACAAUUUCUCUAAGCAUAAUGUUUAGUUCAACAAGAUUUUUUGCUUUUCUAUAUAUAACAAAAAUUUCUCAAUGAAGCAAACAUUACAUUGAUUUAUAAUCUAUCGCAAGCUUCUUAAUCUGACUAAUUAUUUCAGAACAUGCCCCUACUGUGCUCAACAAUUACAUAGUUCCUGCCAUUUGUGACUCAUCAUGUGAAUUUGACCUGUUCUGUAACUCUUUCAAUAAA
rnacentral:lncRNA from 1 species